CACCGCGGUUAUACGAGAGGCCCGAGUUGAUAAAUGCCGGCGUAAAAUGUGGUCAAUAUACUAAUAUACUAAAGCCAAACAUCUUCAAGGCUGUUAUACGCUAUCGAAGAUAGGAAACUCUUCCACGAAAGUGACUUUAAAUAAUAUUACUCCACGAAAGUCGGGGAA
rnacentral:rRNA from 1 species